rnacentral:siRNA from 1 species
UCCAAUAGCGUAUAUUUAAGU